AACCCAUCUACUUCAUACAUGUCUUCACUCUUCACUCUUGAAUACUGGUUGCACAAAGAGAAUCUAGAGUUUAACCAGAGAGGUGAGAGAGAGAGACGGAGUAGCUCUGCUUCUCUCUGAAAAAGCAAUCCCUAAUCCAGAAAUUGCAAUUGAAUCGGAGCUCCGACCCUCCGAUCGAGCGCUGAAAGAAUGGAUGUUUGACUUUGUUUCCGAAGAAACGACGACCACCGCGUAGUACCCGUCGUAACGGCCACCAACAACACUGCCGGUAUCUAGACCGUCACCAGUGGUUCAAUCGGACGCCAGUGUACAUUCUACAACCCUAACUCUAGAACAAAUCUCGCAAAAAAAGAGAAAUCAAGAAGAGGUAUGGGUAUAUAUUUCAAAAGGAAGUUGUUCUCAUGACUGAACUUGAACAAACUUUUCUAGCCCUAAUUUCUUUCUCCAGAGGUACAAUUUUUUUUAAAGUUUAUAUGUUGAAACUUUAGAAUUAGCGUUUGGAUGAUAAUUUGAGUUUCUAUAAGUAACAAGUUUAUGAUUGUUGAAUCUAUAGACUAUAGUUGUUGAUGUGUUUAACAGUUACAAGUUUAUAGUAGUUUUUUUAAGAAAUUGAAAUUGUUGAUAUAUUUUGCCAUAAUCUUCUUUUCAUGACUUAAUUUUCACAUAUAUAAGAUUUAUAUCGAGGAUUCGAGGUAUUUGCUUGGUCGGUGGGUGGGAAACACAUUUUUGCGUGAGACUUGGUUACAUCCGGUUGCUAUGAUUUCUUCAUGAGAGGGAUGUCACCCUGCUCCCAUCACUGGCCCGGUAGGAUGGAUGCAAGUGUAGAUCUAUAUAUUUCAUAUACGGGGUAAAUGGAUCAGAUAGCAUGUAAAAAAGUGUUGGGUUGAUUCCAAAUAUAUUUUAAUUUUACAUUUUAUAUAUAACAAGUUUUAGUGUUUAUACAGUAAAAAAGGACAUUUUUAGCAAGUUCAUUUUAGGCUAAUUUUGUUUGUUUUACGUGUUUGACCAGCUAUGAUAAAACAUAACCCGUACUGACUCAUAACCCGACCCCCUCGAACUUUUCGCUCAAUAGUGUUAUAUAUGUAGUUUUCGUAUAGAAAUUUUUGGGUACAUACGUUUUCGACCCCCCGGUUCUAUAGAUAUUUUUGGGUAUAUACGUUUUCGAUCCCCCCAUCGAAAACUUCAAGCUUCGCCAUUGUACUGACUCAUACUAAUGAAAUAGUUGAAGCAUAAUAUUUCUAUCUCCAUGACAAGCAAAACUAAUGGGAAAGGCAACACUUUGAUAGGAUUUGCUAAGCAAUCCAUGAAGGAAUCUAUUGUAAGCGUGCUACUUGUGUUAGCCCAUAUGUCAUGCAAACUUUUAACUCUAAAUUUGAUACAAAAGUGAGUUUGAUUAAACAAGUUGCAAAAAUUUAGUUGGUUUUAAAAUUUUGAAUAGAAUACGUGUUGUGUUUACUUUCUUUUUGCAGCGAUGAAGGAUGUGCUAGGAAUGGUCUUUCUUAAAAAAGUUAUGGUCCUUAACAAAAAUCAAGGUUAAUGUAGUUAAUUUCCUACCGAUCAUUUUACAAUUUUUCUGGAUUAUUAGGAUGCUAAUGAAAGAGUAUUUCCGUUACAAGGAUGACGAAGAGGUAAACAAUAAUCUGUUCUAUUUUUAUUUUUUUAGAACGGGUUUUUACCACUUUUACUCAUCCUAUCUCUUUAAGUUAAAACAUAAGUAAACGGGACCAAAUCCUCUGAUUUAUUCUUGCGAUUGUUUUUGCAUUCAUUGGCACAGACGAGAUGUCACUGAAGAAGCUGAAGAUAAUGUGUAAAGCCUUACUUCUAAGAUAAUGCUCAUAAAUUCACAUAUAUUACGGCUCUGUGUUGGACGAGGGAGACGAAGCUACUAAAAGGUUCACUUACUUCCUCGGGAAGCCUAGCUGCUUUGUACGCUAUAAUGAAGCUGAAGUGCACAUCAACCGACACCUCACUCUGUUUGUGUGCACGAAGUAUGAUGCAAAGAAAGGUCGCCAAGAAUGAACAACAACCCAUUUGUAAGGUCAAGGCUUACAGAAAGCAGCUCAUCAUUUUUUAACCACAACAACAGCUAGGAGAUGUGAAUGUAUGUUUGUUGCGUGUAAUUAUCAUACAUUUGGUCGAUAAAUAAACAUGUUAGUUAAUAAACCCUGCCGCAUAAAUUGGUAUUCGUUCCGUCUUAA